UGAGCUUCACCAUGUGGCUGACCUGCAC
rnacentral:piRNA from 1 species